AUAAUAGGUUAGGUAAAUGUUCCAUGAUAAUGGGUUAGGUAAAUGUUUCAUGAUAAUGGGUUAGGUAAAUGUUUCAUGAUAAGAAUUUCAUGUCUUUUGUAUUAAAGAAUUAAAUGGAUGAAAUAUGAAGUUUUAUUAAAAGAAAAAGGGGUGAAAAGAACAAAGUUUUGUCCAUCUUUGUUCAUCAUAGCUGAAAGUUAGAGAAGAGAAAGGAGAGGAGAAAGCUCUUGAGUAUUCGGUCAUUAGGAGGAGGAAAAUUGAAGGCGGUUCGUGUGUGGAUCUCGUCAGCAUAUCGUUGCAAACAGGAAAUCCCCAACCAUAGUGGGCUUGGAGCUGUGAGGGAAUUCGGAGUGGCCAC